UAAACCUGAUGGUAUUGCGAUAAUGUUGGCUGAUUAUUUUGUGACUAUAGCAUAUUUUGUAUGAAAAAAUAUAAGAAAUAAAAUGAGAAGUGAGCAAACGUACCAUAUGGAAUAACUUAUUGAACUAUUAUUGACGAAAAAAAUAGAAAUAUAGUAGAAAAGCCAAGUAGAUUCUUCACGUGAACUUGAUACCUUCAACAUAUUUUGCUUGUAAUUGACUGAUAAACGACUUAUAAUCUAUUGCUUACUAGAUACAAGAUUAUAUCCAUGUUAUGAAUUUGAUGGAUGAUCAUAUUGUUGAACUUCAGAGAUUUAGUUUGCAUUAGGCUGUGUUGCCAACAAUCUGGAUACUGAAAACAACAAAUUUGUCAUGUAGAUGAUUUCUGCCUCUGAAAGAGUGUCUGGAUAAUUGCGAAGAAGUGCUAAUGGGUUACACCCACUGGUUUGAUUAAGAUAGCAACAAAUAGAUGUGUUGUGUAUUCAAAUGAAUGUGAUCUCUAUGUGCAAGAGGACUAAACGAAAUUGGCCAAGGACCAAAUCACACACAGUGUAGUGUGUGAUGUUUUUGAUUGGUUGGGUGAUAUUGUUCAUAUAUGGUUGGUUCCUAUUGUGAAUGUAAAGGUGAUAAGAUUCUUCCCCUACUUGGAAGUAAAAACUAAUAGUUUGUUAUCUUUUGA